AGCAGGCAUGUCUCUACUCUCCUGGUCUACUGGAAACAGCAAGAAGAGCGCAUCUCUAAAGGCAGGGAGCCAAAAGUUCUGAGCUGAUUAAGACCACUUCCCUCGCUGAGCCCCGUUUCCCUGUCUGGACAGUGAGUCAAAGGCUCAGUUGAAGGUGCUCUUACACUAGGUGGCAGUUCACAGGAACCAGUAUUACACUGAAGCAAGCCAAGCCACUUGUGGCAGAGCUGUUCAGUGCCACUGGCCUUUCAUCUGAAGAUUGAAGAUGCAUUCCAUCACAGAAGUCAUGGUGGCAGGAGUUUGAGGCAGCUUGCCACAUUUCAGCCAAAGCCAGGAAGUGGAGAGAGAUGAACACCGGUGUCCUUUGUUCUUUGUAUCAGUCUAGGACUCCACCCCAUCUGCCCUUGUCAGAACAAAGUAUGUAUGGAACAUUGUACGAAUUCCCAGCAUCCAACAAAGCAAAUAUACAAUGGAUGGAAUCCUGAGAGAAAUAACCCAACCUGUAAUGAAGCAGAAGAGAAGCUAAGGAGAAGGGAAACUGAAUCCAUGGACGGACAUAGGUGAUGGAAUUUGUAGAGACACAGGAAGUGGCCAUUCAGCUGCAUCUGUGCAUGUUCCCAGUACUAUAGGAGAGACGGGCCAUGCCGAGUAAAACCGUGAGAAUCGUUUUACUGCAGAUGCAGAAGUUGAACUUUUAGAGAUGACGAAGAGGAUGCUCUGUUUACUUUUUCGUUUUUUAACUUUUCUCCUUUGUGUUUCAUUUGAUAAUUUCUGUUGCUUGGUCCUUAGUCACAAACCUCCUGCAGUGUUGUAUCUUCUGAUCUAUGUGUUUAUCCCUUGUAGCAAACAUUUUCCUUCAGAAAUAUUCAUUUAAAAAGAUAUUUAAUAAAUGUACAUGUC
rnacentral:lncRNA from 1 species